UGCGCGCGGGCCGGCUGCGGCUCCCCGACAGGAGCCUGAGGAGCAGGUGGGGGCGACGGCCCCGCCUCCGCGUCCCGGCAGCCCCAGAGCUGGCGGCAGGGGAGUGAGCGGCGCUCACCGAGCGCAGCACCCAACGCAGCUUGGCCCCAGCGGCGCCGCCUGGAGCACGGACGCUGCGGGACGGAGCCCGGAGCCUAGAGGCGGCGGCGGCGGCGAGGACGUCGGCCAGAGACGAAUCCUGUCCUGUCCUCGGCACGACCAGCGGCAGAGCAGAGACCAUUCUCCUGGGACCAUUCCUAAGAAAGAAACACCCACGCUGUGACAUAUGCCACUGCCACCGCCACUGCCACCUCUGCCUCCGCCUCCCCCCCCAUCAGCGCCCCCGGUAAGUACAGAUGCUUCCAGCUUGAGAAAGACAGAUCCCAAAGGUCGGAGUGCACUGUUGGCUGAUAUCCAGCAAGGAACUCGCCUACGAAAAGUCACGCAGAUCAAUGACCGCAGUGCCCCGCAAAUCGAGAGUUCUAAAGGAACCAACAAAGAAGGAGGAGGUCCUGCAAACUCUCGAGGCGGGAGCACGCCCCCAGCCCUGGGAGAUCUGUUUGCUGGUGGCUUUCCAGUGUUACGACCAGCAGGCCAGAGGGAUGCAGCAGGCGGCAAGACAGGGCAGGGCCCUGGCUCCCGAGCGCCUUCUCCCCGGCUUCCCACCAAAACUAUCAGCGGCCCGUUCAACCCCCCUGCAUCUCCCAGGCUAGGCGACGCCUCCGAGGCGCAUGGCGUGGCCGGGACGGUCCUUCCUCGCCCCAGCAUGCCCGCCCCACCUCCCCCGCCCUUACCCCCGGCCCUGCCCCCGCCCUUGCCCCCGCCCUUACCCCCGGCCCUGCCCCCGUCCUCCCCCGCCAAAGCCCCGCUGGUGUCCCCACCUGGCCCACCGGCCAAGGGGAGCGCUCCGGUGCUCGCACCCCCUCCGCCCUGUGCACCGCCGCCUCCACCCCCGCCGCCCCCGCCCUUGGCUCCCAGUGACAAGGCGGUGAGGCCUCAGCUAGCCCGCUUGCACCUACCGCCCGUCCCGCCCCCGCUGCCUCUCCUCCCACCUUGCGGGUACCCUGGGCUCAGUGCGGACGCUGCCAGCCCUGCCCAAGAUGUGCCGGAGCCUCCAGCCCCUCCGCUCCCGCCGCCCCCACCGCCCCCGCUCCCCACUUACGCCCCACGCACCCCCAGAGCCUCUCUGCCUGCGCCCCCUUUGCCAGGCGCUAACGACAGCGGUGAAGUCCCACCCCCACGGCCCCCCAAGUCCCCAUGCUUCCAGGCCCAGCCCCCCGAGCCCAGCGCGCAGGCCUUGCCGGCGCCACCUGCCCUUCCGGGGUCUCAGACGUUCCCGCAGAAGAAGAGGCCCGGCCGAAGCCCCGCGACCAGUGGGGGAAAGCUGAACCCGCCCCCAGCACCCCCCGCGAGGUCACCCACCACGGAGCUUUCAAGCAGGAGCCAGCAGGCCCCAGCCUGGACCCUGACCCAGCAGCCUGGAGGUCAGCUGCGGAACGGAAGCCUGCACAUCAUUGAUGACUUUGAGUCUAAAUUCACGUUCCAUUCUAUGGAAGAUUUUCCUCCUCCGGAUGAGUAUAAACCAUGCCAGAAGAUUUACCCCAGCAAGAUCCCCAGAAGCCGCACACGUGGUCCCUGGCUCCACACUGAGGCGGCCGGCCAGAGCUCCGAUGACAUCAAAGGCAGAAAUGCUCAGUUAUCACUGAAGACACUCCGGUGAGAAGACAGAUGAAGCCAACGUCCUGUGAGCCACCUGGGGGUCCAUAUGGCGGGGUGGACAUCCCCAGGAGAACGUCAGACCUCACCCUUCUCAAGUUGUAAUUCAGUUGACAUACAGGCUCUGCAUGGAGCAUUUAUUUAUUGUAAAUACGUGAUUUGCACAGGCUUUAAAUCAGUAUUAUAGUCGAUUUUUAUUUGAGUAAUUUACAAAACACAUACAUCAUUUCUCCAUUGUUUAAAAUGCAUCUUGGCAUUCAUCUGUCAGCACAGAUGACAGCCCUGACCCCACCACAGAGUGUCCAUUCCAUGACUGUUAAUACGCGUGCAGGCUGGCCCUCCCUAGAUUCGGAACCAUUUUUAGAAGAUUCCUUAGUUUCCCAAAGUCAUAGUAUCUACAACAGCUUCUUCUUGGCAUGAUUUUCUAGUCUCAUCACACAAACUGCAAAAUCAAACCAGAUAAUGCCUUAUAAAUGACGCGGCUCACAGAGAGCAAUGUGUCGCCACACCCAGACGAUGCCACACGGCCUCCAGUGAACGAGAUGCCACGUCUCGCUCCCGUCUUGCAGUACAGGGAUUCUUUUGCUUCCUAAUGUAAACAUAACACAAGUCAAAGGCAAGAGCGGGCUUGGCCUCUCCAACACCAACCACAGGGCCCCUUUUGUAUCUGAAUGAUCCUGCAAGUAGCCAAUGCUCUUACUGUUUACACUGCCCCUCGUGCCCAUGUUUGCAUGAUGGUCCUCCUGUCCCUCCAAGUUCCCAGCCUCAUCCUGGCAGACAAGGUGAGGUGAGCUGUAUGAGAUUUCAGUAUUUUCCCUGCAAGUUAGAAACCUGUGUAAGUCAUCAUGAGUAAAUUCCUAAUUCUGUCUCAGAGCUCUUUUUUUUCCUCCCCUGAGUGCAGGGUUUUCGUGAAAAACAUGACACGGAAAGUAUAGACUGAAAUGUAUUCUGAAAUAUCUGCCUCAAAUAUCAGUGCCCCACGCCCACCCUUAGGGAACCUGGAGCCACCCAUCAGGCAAAUCCUAGCUGCCUUCUGAGCCCGAGAACCUAAUUGGUCUGAGAGUCCCCCAGUCCCUGUGGUGGCACCUUUCUAGGUGGGGAGAAGUGUGUGAGUUCAGCCAGCCCUGACUAGGGACCGGCUCAGGACUGGCUGUGACCUGUCCUCUCACACCCUUUUUCUGGAGCUGGCAAGGGAACGGCAGUGUGUUUUUGCUUGCUGCAUGACCCCAUCCUUGGUGGAAAAGCUGUGACAGAGGAAGGAGAGAAAAUAGGAGGAAACAGACUGAUCCCUCGUCUUUGCUCAAAAUAGCUGCAGAUUAAAGGAAAUCAGGGAGGCAGAAGUGGGAAGAGCAGUGAAAAUAGAGGCACAGAUAAGCUUUUUCAUGACCAAAAGGGCCCAUCUGAUUGGAGGAUAAAAAGCAAUGGCCCAAGAUAAUCGACAAAGUGGAGGAUGGACUUUAAAGGCAUUGACUGUAGAGCAUUUUCCAGCUCACACAUCUGACUUCUCACAACAUGACUGCAAACAUAUACGUAUUCAUCCCCACGAGAAAUCGGCGUGUGACAUCUCGGGAUGUUUGGAUUCAAUCAGGGGAGUUGGUAGAAAAUAGGAUUUGUUCCAGUAAAACCUGUGACCCUCAGGGUCCACGUCUGUGUAUGGGGCCCAAGCCCCUUCCAGCUCUCACGGCAUAUGAUACACUGCAGCUGACAAGGAGUCACUAACUUGAAGUCACUUCCAAGACUACUGACACUCACAGUAUUUCCAUUUGGAAAGGCCUGUCGGUGAUGAAGGUGAUUAGGCCCACGUGGUACAGCUGAGAAAUUUGCAGCUUCGUGGGGUGGAACUUCUGCCACAGGGCCAUUUAAUUAAUCCUAAACUAGACGGCGGUAACCAGGCCCAGAAUCAUCUCUAGACAUACGCACGUCCGUGUGGCGCGUGAGCAGCCAUGCAGGGAGAGCCCCGUGCCUCAUGGGAGAGCCGCGCCGCGAUCCAGGGUCGUCACACACAGCCGCCUCUGAAUCUCUACAGUGGGCAGCUUCCAGCCCGCACGGCACGUGGAAGCUGUCUGCGGGUCCACCGCACACGAGCGCGGUGCACAGAAGACACAGCUGGAGACAUUCUGCAUUACAGGCCUGCGCUCAGCAGAAGGGAGGCCAGGCCGGGAUGCCUCCCUUGAGCACACACACAAGAGCCCUGGGCCAAAGAAAUGCCUUUUGUUAACCAGAAAGGAACCACUACUGAGAGAAAGAGUAAGACUUCAAAAGAUUUUGCCUUCCCCUCAAACUCGGCGCAGUGGAGCCUGUCUUUCAAGGCUUGAUGGACUCUAGUCCUCCCAUGAAAAGGCUAAUGUGUCCAUUGUCACUGAAACACAAUAAGAGCAGCUUAAAAUCCACAAUCAGUCAUACAAUCGCACAACAGGCAAAUGGGAUACAUGUUUACACUGCAGAAGGAGGGGAUCUAUGUUGCAGAAGAAGGGGGUGUUGUGAGAUCCGAGGCAGAACGCUAGGGAACAGUGUGACGUUAACACAUCUGAACUUUCUCGUUUUUCUCGGACAGGAGAGCGGUUUGUUUUGCUGGUAAUUUAGUAAGGUGGGAAAUUUUAAAUAAGAAGGGGAAAGGGAAUGCUUACUUCACUUAAAGAACUUAAUCUCCGUGUCAACACAGUCAUAGAAGAGAUCUCCCACUUCGGUGGGGUCCAGGGGGUCAUUGCUGGUCAGGAUUUCCUCCAUGGCUUCCAGGCCUUGCUUCUCUAGUUCCAGCAUCGUCUUCCUCAGCUUUCGACCUUGCUCCUGAGAAGGAUGAAAACAGCGGGGGGUCAUUACAAUGGACGCUGAAAGCCCCCCGGGAGGGCCUGCCCCCCACCCCAUUCAAUCUGCUCCCCGCGGGACUGCCACGGGGAUGGUUCUAAAAUGCAGGUGUGGUGAUGUCACUGCUCUGCUUGGAGUUCUUGCCUUCAGAAUAAAAAUCCAGACUGCUGAGUGACGCUGAAAAAGGCCCUUUGUAACAUAUGAGGCUCCAGCCUGCCUCGCCUUUGCCACGCCGUCCGCAUCUCCUUGCUCUUCAGCCAGACCGAAUUAGCUGCAUUCCUCCAGCCCAUGAUACUUUCUCGCCACAGCACAGGCAACCCUGCUCCCCUCAACACUCGGUCAGCUUGCGCCCACCUUCAGGCUUCCGUGAACGCCUUUCCUCUAGGCUACCCCCCAUCCAAUGCCUUUCCUUCUGCCAUGGUUGUUCUCUUUCUGUCUUGCGAUGGUCUGUCUACUUACCUGUGUCCCCCAUUAGACCACGAUCUCCCAGGGAGGGAGACCCGGGCUUAUCUCUAUCCUCCUGCCUGGGACAGAGGAGGCACUCCCAAUAAUGUCUCUUGAAAGAAUAAAUGGAUCAAUGAAUAA